UGUGUGUGUUGAUGAGUGGAUGUAGGAGAGGACAGUAAAAUGGGCAGCAGGAUGAGGUGAGGAUCCAUAUAAAGAGGGGUGUCUCUGGCGGGGUGACAGAACGACAGGACACAGCCAGCUAGUUCAUCACCAGCCUAGGGAUUCACACAGAAGGUCACCAGAGCAGGACCAAGUAGAAUGACCAUGCGUGGAGCUGUGAUGUGCUGUGUACUGCUGGUGUGUCUGGUGGCCAUGUUUGCUAAACAGGUGGAGGGACACUUCUCUUUCUUUAGCCCCAAGGAGAUGAGGGAGAUGAAGGUGAGUUGCAGGAAAAGAUGCACAGAGAGUGACGUGAGGGACUUAUAUUUGGGGGAAAAAUAAAUGUCUUCCCACCCAUUGGUAUUAUAAUCUACUGCAAAUUUGUCAUCAAUACAAUUUGUUCAGAAUGCACGUGUCCAUCUUUUACUGUACAUUUAAAUUAUAGUAACAUUCAACCUCUGGGAAGUUUUCAGCCGGUACCCAUGAGAAAAAUAAUACUUUGUCUGGGGGUUUAGGUUGGGUGUAAGUGUUUCAUUUGGGGAAAUGAUUAGGGUAAGGGUUAGGGUUAAUGUUAGGGGUCUAGGGUUAAGGUUAGGGGUCUAGGGUUAAGGUUAGGGGUUAGGUUUAAUGUUAGGGGUCUAGGGUUAAGGUUAGGGGUCUAGGGUUAAGGUUAGGGGUUAGGUUUAAUGUUAGGGGUCUAGGGUUAAGGUUAGGGGUCUAGGGUUAAGGUUAGGGGUUAGGUUUAAUGUUAGGGGUCUAGGGUUAAGGUUAGGGAAAAUUGUAUAUUGAAUGGGAAUAAUGUUUGGGCUGUGUGUGUGUGUAUAUGUGUGUCUUUAUCUGUCUGUGUGUGUGUGUGUGUUUGUGUGUGUAUGCAUGUAUGUGUGUGUAUGUUUGUGUGUGUGUGUGUGUGUCAGGCCCUACAGAAUAAGCUGGGGAGGAAGGACAUGGAGCCUCAGACAGAGAAUGGACAGCUUCAGGAUGUCACCAUAAAACAGCUGCGUGAGGUCGAUGGCCGAAUUCCUGAGAAGAUCAUGGAGAUAGGGGUUCGACUGACGGCCAAACAACUGGAGCUCGUGGGCCCUGUGCUGGAAGAGAUCAUCAAUGAAAUGGUGGAGCAGGCCGAAUAGAGAGGCGCUUGGGGUUCUACAUUAAGAGACAGCACUUAUA
rnacentral:lncRNA from 1 species